rnacentral:rRNA from 1 species
CAGUGGGGAAUAUUGCACAAUGGGGGAAACCCUGAUGCAGCCAUGCCGCGUGUGUGAAGAAGGCCUUCGGGUUGUAAAGCACUUUCAGUAGGGAGGAAGGUAGUGUAGUUAACACCUGCACUAUUUGACGUUACCUACAGAAGAAGCACCGGCUAACUCCGUGCCAGCAGCCGCGGUAAUACGGAGGGUGCGAGCGUUAAUCGGAAUUACUGGGCGUAAAGCGCAUGCAGGCGGCCUGUUAAGUCAGAUGUGAAAGCCCGGGGCUUAACCUCGGAAUUGCAUUUGAAACUGGCAGGCUAGAGUCUUGUAGAGGGGGUAGAAUUUCAGGUGUAGCGGUGAAAAUGCGUAGAGAUCUGAAGGAAUACCAGUGGCGAAGGCGGCCCCCUGGACAAAGACUGACGCUCAGAUGCGAAAGCGUGGGGAGCAAACAGGAUUAGAUACCCUGGUAG